CCGUUAUGACCCGUUAAGAAAAAUAUAUAUUUUUUCUUAAAUUUGCACAUACUGCCACAUAAAUAUUACUUCAAAACAUUAAAACACAUUUGUCGUUUAAGUACUACAUCAACACUCAAAAAUAAGAGCCUAAUAAAAAAACAUCCAUACACUACUAGUCUAUUACAAAAUAUUAAAUGUGCAAGGAUAUGCAAAAUGAAAGAGUUUUUGUUUUCAAGGUUGUGAAGCCUUUCUCAAAAGUUUAAAUCUUGCCAAUGGAACUCAAAGCUUGCAUGUUAUUUCUUUUACAAAAUCCUCAAUUUUCAUCGAUCAUCAUGAAGAAAUUGUAUUGGAACUUUGGCUUGAUCUAUUGCCUUCAAGAGUUAUGUUGAUGAUGUUUUAAGUAAGAUUUUCCACAUCAGAACUUUCUUCCGCAUAAACUAAGUAUAGAAAAAACAAACAUUAAAAACUAUUCAAAUUAUGAGAAGUUUACCAAAAUAAUUAUGAAACAAAAUAAGACAAUAGUACUAUACCAUAUAAAACUAUAUUACCUCAUUUUCCAAAUAGCCAAUCUCUUGUGCACAACAAAGCUUGAACUGAUUCUGGUAACUUAAUAUCACGAGAUAUAUAUGCAAACAAAGCCCUAAUUUCCUCAUAUUCAGAAAAAUUAAAAGGAAGAUUAUGUUUGAUGAUGGCCUUUACCAAUAAGCCACGGAAUAUCACGGGAUCAAAGUUUUGGGAACAGAAUUCAGACAUCGACAAUAAUCCACCCGUCGGUCCAGGGCAUGUUUUCAAAUAUCUAUUCAUAUUACCCGUCCCAUGAUGACUAUCAUCUAUUUCCAGUUUCUUACAAUCUUUACAUUGAGCACAACUUUUACCAUCUUAAAAAAUAGUAGUUAAUUUGUUGAAAGUUUUCCAAACAGAAGACCUGAGUGUUCGCUUACCUAAUUGAUCACUUUAGCCUUUUUCUUUGCUGGACUUGUAUUUGUAUCUUCUGUAUUUUCACUUCCAUGAUCAAGUUGUAUUCCCAUUGUAACUUUCACUGACCCUCCAUCACUAAGGUUCAUAAAAUCUUGCUCUACAACAUCCAUUGCUUCAAGAAAGAAAAACAAAACUGUAAAAUCUUGCUUCAUACCAUAUCCAUUUCAAUUUUACCUAUCUAUAUCCAUUUCAAAUUCACAUAUCCAAUUCAAUUUCAAAAUCCAAUUCACAUAUCCUCAAAUCACAAUCCAAUUCAAAUUUACUUUCAAAUUCAUAAUUCAAUUAAAAAUACCUUGCACUUGCAGGUUGCAUCCUUGCUUAAUUGCUUUGCUUGUUCCAAAUCUCCAAAUUUGGAAAACAAAUAUAGACCCCACUUAUUAACUUCAAGUAAAUAGAUCCCAAAUGAAACAUAGAUACAAAUGAACUCGCGGAGUUCACAAUAAAAAAAAAGGACUUGCAUUCCAAUUGCCAAUACUUGGGACAAAUAAUUCCAUACAAAUAAUUAAGACAUUGCAUCUACUAUCGCAAAACAAAAAUAGGUGGGGCGUCCUAACUUUGUCGUUGCCUGCCUCACAUGCCACUAUAUAUAUAUUUAUGACAUUAAGUAAUGAAUCUCACCUUACGACUUACAAUACGACUAAAUGGCAUGACAUAAUAAAGUUAAUUUACAUAACUACAUAUAUACUCCCAAAUUCCAAUGCUUGAUUCUAUUUCUGCCUUUGUUGGUACUAUACUU
rnacentral:lncRNA from 1 species